rnacentral:lncRNA from 1 species
GGAGGCUGGAAAGCCCAGGGUCAGGGUGUCAGCAGGGUUUGCUUCCUAGUGAAGGACCUCCUCCUGGCUCGCAGCCUUCUGGCCGUGUUCUCACAUGGCGGGAAGAGAGGUCCAGCGUCUCCUCCUCUGAGGACAUCAUUCUAUUGGGUCAGGGCUCUGCCCUAUGACCUCAUUUAACUUUAAUUGCCUCCUUAAAGGCCCUGUCUCCAAUGAUCGCAUGGGGGGAGGGCUAGGGCUUCAACAUAUGUAUUUGUAGUGGGACACAGUUCAGUCCCUAACAAAAGGAAAUGAGAGCUCUGGAGGGUGGCACAUUGGCAGUUAAAUGCUUGUCCUGGAUGUGACACUCUUUCUUCACUAUCGCUCACAACCGUUUGGCCAGAACUGGUCACAUAGCCCCACAGGGAGCCCAGAAGUACAGUCCCAUCCCAUGCUCCAGUGGUGGAGAGUCAGAAAUAAGGUUGAGCGUCAUUGAUUUUCACCAUCAUAGUAAAUUUUGAAUCUUUACUAAGUGCAGGGCCUGUCCUGUGUGCUUCUUGAAUCAGGGAGAAGGUUUUAUACAAGAAAAUGGCACAUUCUGAAGUGGAGCUCAACAGGUGACUGGGUACCUGGAUAUGUGAUCGAGUAUUCUUCUGGGUGUUUCUAUGAGGAUGUUUUUGGAUGAAAUUGGCAUUUAAAUUGGUAAACUGAGUAAAGCAGUCUGUCCCCCUAACCGGGGUGGGCUUCAUGUAAUCAGCUCAAGGUUUGAAUACAACAAAAAGACUUACACUCUCGCAAGUGAAAGGCAAUUCUUUCUGCCUGGUAGCCUUCAAACUGAGACACAGGCUUUUAUCCUGCCUUCAGAUUCGCCUGGGAACACUGGCUCUUCCUGAGUCUCAAGCCUGCUGGCCUUGAGACAAGAACUACAUCAGCUCUCUCAGUUCUCAAGCCUUUGGACUUACUCUGGAACUAAGCCAUCAGCUCUCUUGGGUCGUCAGCUUGCCAACCAACUCAUCCUGAAGAUCUUGGGACUUGCCAGCCUUCAUAGUCACGUGGGCCAAUUCCUUUUUUUUUUUUUUUUUUUGAGAUGGGGUCUUACUCUGUUGCCCAGGCUGGACUGCAAUGGCACGAUUAUGGCUCACUGCAGCCUCAACCUCCAGGGCUUGAGUGAUCCUCCCACCUCAGCCUCCCAAGUAGCUGGGACUACAGGCACAUGCUACCAUGCCCAGCUAAUUAAAAAAAAUUUUUUUUUUGUAGAGACGGAGUUUCACUGUGUUGCUCAGGCUGGUCUUGAACUCCUGAGCUCAAGCAACCCUCCACUUCAGCUUCCCAAAGUGCUGGGAUUACAGGCAUCACUGGCCCAGGCAGAGCCAAUUCUGUAUAAUAAAUCUGUCUCUCUCUGUCUCUCGUGUAUGUGUGUGUGUGCACAUUCUGUUUUGCUAGAGAAUGCUGACUAAUACAGAAUCACAUCCUAAUUUAUUUCCUAAGAAGUUCUCAAAUCUUCAUUUCUUUGCUUAUGCCGCAGUAACAAACAAAACCCCAAACCUUAGAGGCUUAAAGCAGCAAGGUUUAUCUCUCUAUCACAUCCCAGUGUGCUGCAGGAAAAGCAGCUCCAGGGCAGCUGACUCCAUGCAGUGACUCAGAGAUCCAGCCUGCUUCCAUCUUUUGGUUCUUCCAUCCCAAGUGUGAUUUCUACCCACAGAGAAUGGAAAACUCACACCCACCUCUAACUACUCAGACUGGGAGUGGCACUGCUCAAUUCCACCCACAGA